rnacentral:rRNA from 1 species
CCUACGGGAGGCAGCAGUGAGGAAUAUUGGUCAAUGGCCGGAAGGCUGAACCAGCCAUGCCGCGUGAAGGUCAGUGCCCUAUGGGCGUUAAACUUCUUUUGUGCGGGAGCAAUAAUGGUCACGUGUGGCCAGACGAGAGUACCGUACGAAUAAGCAUCGGCUAACUCCGUGCCAGCAGCCGCGGUAAUACGGGGGAUGCAAGCGUUAUCCGGAUUUAUUGGGGUUAAAGGGUGAGUAGGCUGUGAGGUAAGUCAGCGGUGAAAUGCCCCCGCUCAACGGGGUGAAGUGCCAUUGAUACUGCCUUGCUGGAAGGCGGGUGCCGUGGGAGGAAUGUGGGGUGUAGCGGUGAAAUGCAUAGAUAUCACACAGAACACCGAUUGCGAAGGCAUCUCACGAAUCCGCGAUUGACGCUGAUGCACGAAAGCGUGGGUAUCAAACAGGAUUAGAUACCCCAGUAGUC